GAUGAACGCUAGCGGCAGGCCUAAUACAUGCAAGUCGAACGGGAUCCAGAUCAAAGCUUGCUUUGGUUUGGUGAGAGUGGCGCACGGGUGCGUAACGCGUGAGCAACCUACCCUUGUCAGGGGGAUAGCCCGGCGAAAGUCGGAUUAAUACCGCAUGACAUCAUUGAGAGGCAUCUUUCGAUGAUCAAAGAUUUAUCGGACAAGGAUGGGCUCGCGUGACAUUAGCUAGUUGGUAAGGUAACGGCUUACCAAGGCUACGAUGUCUAGGGGCUCUGAGAGGAGAAUCCCCCACACUGGUACUGAGACACGGACCAGACUGCUACGGGAGGCAGCAGUAAGGAAUAUUGGUCAAUGGACGGAAGUCUGAACCAGCCAUGCCGCGUGCAGGAAGACGGCCCUAGGGGUUGUAAACUGCUUUUAUACGGGAACAAACGUCGGUACGUGUACCGGUCUGAGUGUACCGUAAGAAUAAGGAUCGGCUAACUCCGUG
rnacentral:rRNA from 1 species